rnacentral:rRNA from 1 species
AAUGAACGUUGGCGGCAUGGAUUAGGCAUGCAAGUCGGGGGAAUCCCAGCAAUGGGGGAACCGGCGUAAGGGGCAGUAAGGCAUGGGUACCUACCUUGGGGUUCGGGAUAGCCAACAGAGAUGGUGGGUAAUACCGGAUGACGUCGUGAGACCAAAGAUUUAUCGCCCUUAGAGGGGCCCAUGUGAUAUUAGCUAGUUGGUGGGGUAACGGCCCACCAAGGCGAAGAUGUCUAGCGGGUGUGAGAGCACGACCCGCGCCACUCGCACUGAGACACUGGCGAGACACCUACGGGUGGCUGCAGUCGAGGAUCUUCGGCAAUGAGCGCAAGCUUGACCGAGCGAUGCCGCGUGAGCGAUGAAGGCCUUCGGGUUGUAAAGCUCUUUAGUGGGGGAGAAAAGCCGCAAGGUGUGAUCUAUCCCAAAAAUAAGCACGGGCUAAGUUCGUGCCAGCCGCCGCGGUAA